rnacentral:rRNA from 1 species
CCUACGGGAGGCUGCAGUGAGGAAUAUUGGUCAAUGGGCGCUAGCCUGAACCAGCCAAGUAGCGUGAAGGAUGACUGCCCUAUGGGUUGUAAACUUCUUUUGUCAGGGAGCAAUUGGGUCCACGCGUGGGCUUAGCGAGAGUACCUGAAGAAAAAGCAUCGGCUAACUCCGUGCCAGCAGCCGCGGUAAUACGGAGGAUGCGAGCGUUAUCCGGAUUUAUUGGGUUUAAAGGGUGCGUAGGCGGAAUAUCAAGUCAGCGGUAAAAAUUCGGGGCUCAACCCCGUCGUGCCGUUGAAACUGAUGGUCUUGAGUGGGCGAGAAGUAUGCGGAAUGCGUGGUGUAGCGGUGAAAUGCAUAGAUAUCACGCAGAACUCCGAUUGCGAAGGCAGCAUACCGGCGCCCAACUGACGCUGAAGCACGAAAGCGUGGGUAUCGAACAGGAUUAGAUACCCGUGUAGUC